AUUGAACGCUGGCGGCAUGCCUUACACAUGCAAGUCGAACGGCAGCACGGGAGCAAUCCUGGUGGCGAGUGGCGAACGGGUGAGUAAUAUAUCGGAACGUGCCCAGUAGUGGGGGAUAACUGCUCGAAAGAGCAGCUAAUACCGCAUACGACCUGAGGGUGAAAGGGGGGGAUCGCAAGACCUCUCGCUAUUGGAGCGGCCGAUAUCAGAUUAGCUAGUUGGUGGGGUAAAGGCCUACCAAGGCAACGAUCUGUAGUUGGUCUGAGAGGACGACCCGCCACACUGGGACUGAGACACGGCCCAGACUCCUACGGGAGGCAGCAGUGGGGAGUUUUGGACAAUGGGCGCAAGCCUGAUCCAGCAAUGCCGCGUGCAGGAAGAAGGCCUUCGGGUUGUAAACUGCUUUUGUCAGGGAAGAAAUCCUCUAGGUUAAUACCCUUGGGGGGAUGACGGUACCUGAAGAGUAAGCACCGGCUAACUACGUGCCAGCCGCCGCCGUAACAC
rnacentral:rRNA from 1 species